rnacentral:snRNA from 1 species
CCAUUCCGUAUCAGAUGUUUUUUU